CCCUCCACUAUAACGAAUACUACAACAAAAACCAGUAGCGUCGGUAAUUGCGCGUGUAGACUGCAGAUGGGGUAUAGCAGAGCGCCUUGGUGGUGAAUGCGCACACCGGUUGUGUGAUAGCGUUAGUUGUAGUGGAUGGAGAUUUGUCGGCUGAAAUACGGGUCGGAUAAAAUACUGUCAGCUUAAAUACGGUUCGUAUAAAACAUGUUUCG